rnacentral:rRNA from 1 species
CAGUACCCGUAGGAAGAGAAAAUAAUAAUGAUUCUGCUAGUAGUGGCGAACGAACGUGGAUGAGGCUAAACCGUGUGCAUGUGAUACCUGGUAGGGGUUGUGUGUGCGGUGUUGUGGGCCCUGAUGAGGAUGGCUACUGACGUCCUGCCCGCGCAUUGUUGUUAGGUGAAGUGGUGUGGAAACGCCUGCCGUAGAAGGUGAUAGUCCUGUAGCUGAAGAUGAUGGUGUGUGGGUUGUUGGGUUGCCCGAGUAGCAGCGGGCUCGUGGAAUCUGCUGUGAAUCUGCCGGGACCACCCGGUAAGCCUAAAUACUCAGUGUGACCGAUA